ACUGACCGAUAGUGAACCAGUACCGUGAGGGAAAGGCGAAAAGAACCCCGGCGAGGGGAGUGAAAAAGAACCUGAAACCGUGUACGUACAAGCAGUGGGAGCACGCUUAGGCGUGUGACUGCGUACCUUUUGUAUAAUGGGUCAGCGACUUAUAUUCUGUAGCAAGGUUAACCGAAUAGGGGAGCCGAAGGGAAACCGAGUCUUAACUGGGCGUUAAGUUGCAGGGUAUAGACCCGAAACCCGGUGAUCUAGCCAUGGGCAGGUUGAAGGUUGGGUAACACUAACUGGAGGACCGAACCGACUAAUGUUGAAAAAUUAGCGGAUGACUUGUGGCUGGGGGUGAAAGGCCAAUCAAACCGGGAGAUAGCUGGUUCUCCCCGAAAGCUAUUUAGGUAGCGCCUCGUGAAUUCAUCUCCGGGGGUAGAGCACUGUUUCGGCAAGGGGGUCAUCCCGACUUACCAACCCGAUGCAAACUGCGAAUACCGGAGAAUGUUAUCACGGGAGACACACGGCGGGUGCUAACGUCCGUCGUGAAGAGGGAAACAACCCAGACCGCCAGCUAAGGUCCCAAAGUCAUGGUUAAGUGGGAAACGAUGUGGGAAGGCCCAGACAGCCAGGAUGUUGGCUUAGAAGCAGCCAUCAUUUAAAGAAAGCGUAAUAGCUCACUGGUCGAGUCGGCCUGCGCGGAAGAUGUAACGGGGCUAAACCAUGCACCGAAGCUGCGGCAGCGACGCUGAUGCGUUGUUGGGUA
rnacentral:rRNA from 1 species